rnacentral:rRNA from 1 species
GCUCAGGAUGAACGCUGGCGGCGUGCCUAAUACAUGCAAGUCGAACGCUUUGUGGUUCAACUGAUUUGAAGAGCUUGCUCAGAUAUGACGAUGGACAUUGCAAAGAGUGGCGAACGGGUGAGUAACACGUGGGAAACCUACCUCUUAGCAGGGGAUAACAUUUGGAAACAGAUGCUAAUACCGUAUAACAAUGACAACCGCAUGGUUGUUAUUUAAAAGAUGGUUCUGCUAUCACUAAGAGAUGGUCCCGCGGUGCAUUAGCUAGUUGGUAAGGUAAUGGCUUACCAAGGCGAUGAUGCAUAGCCGAGUUGAGAGACUGAUCGGCCACAAUGGGACUGAGACACGGCCCAUACUCCUACGGGAGGCAGCAGUAGGGAAUCUUCCACAAUGGGCGAAAGCCUGAUGGAGCAACGCCGCGUGUGUGAUGAAGGGUUUCGGCUCGUAAAACACUGUUGUAAGAGAAGAAUGACAUUGAGAGUAACUGUUCAAUGUGUGACGGUAUCUUACCAGAAAGGAACGGCUAAAUACGUGCCAGCAGCCGCGGUAAUACGUAUGUUCCAAGCGUUAUCCGGAUUUAUUGGGCGUAAAGCGAGCGCAGACGGUUAUUUAAGUCUGAAGUGAAAGCCCUCAGCUCAACUGAGGAAUUGCUUUGGAAACUGGAUGACUUGAGUGCAGUAGAGGAAAGUGGAACUCCAUGUGUAGCGGUGAAAUGCGUAGAUAUAUGGAAGAACACCAGUGGCGAAGGCGGCUUUCUGGACUGUAACUGACGUUGAGGCUCGAAAGUGUGGGUAGCAAACAGGAUUAGAUACCCUGGUAGUCCACACCGUAAACGAUGAGUGCUAGGUGUUUGAGGGUUUCCGCCCUUAAGUGCCGCAGCUAACGCAUUAAGCACUCCGCCUGGGGAGUACGACCGCAAGGUUGAAACUCAAAGGAAUUGACGGGGACCCGCACAAGCGGUGGAGCAUGUGGUUUAAUUCGAAGCAACGCGAAGAACCUUACCAGGUCUUGACAUCCCUUGACAACUCCAGAGAUGGAGUGUUCCCUUCGGGGACAAGGUGACAGGUGGUGCAUGGUUGUCGUCAGCUCGUGUCGUGAGAUGUUGGGUUAAGUCCCGCAACGAGCGCAACCCUUAUUACUAGUUGCCAGCAUUCAGUUGGGCACUCUAGUGAGACUGCCGGUGACAAACCGGAGGAAGGUGGGGAUGACGUCAAAUCAUCAUGCCCCUUAUGACCUGGGCUACACACGUGCUACAAUGGCGUAUACAACGAGUUGCCAACCCGCGAGGGUGAGCUAAUCUCUUAAAGUACGUCUCAGUUCGGAUUGUAGGCUGCAACUCGCCUACAUGAAGUCGGAAUCGCUAGUAAUCGCGGAUCAGCACGCCGCGGUGAAUACGUUCCCGGGUCUUGUACACACCGCCCGUCACACCAUGAGAGUUUGUAACACCCAAAGCCGGUGGGGUAACCUUCGGGAGCCAGCCGUCUAAGGUGGGACAGAUGAUUAGGGUGAAGUCGUA